rnacentral:misc_RNA from 1 species
GAUGAAGAACGUAGCGAAAUGCGAUAAGUAAUGCGAAUUGCAGAAUUCAGUGAGUCAUCGAAUCUUUGAACGCACAUUGCGCCCUGUGGUAUUCCGCAGGGCAUGCCUGUUCGAGCGUCAUUUCAACCCUCAAGCUCUGCUUGGUGUUGGGCCCUGCCCGCUGCGGCCGGCCCUAAAGACAGUGGCGGUGCCGCCUGGCCCUGAGCGUAGUACAUCUCUCGCUCCAGUGCCCGGUGGUAGCCUGCCAGAACCCCAACUCUCGUGGUUGACCUCGGAUCAGGUAGGGAUACCCGCUGAACUUAAGCAUAUCAUAAGCGGAGGA